AUUGAACGCUGGCGGCAGGCCUAACACAUGCAAGUCGAACGAGUGGCGGACGGGUGAGUAAUGUCUGGGAAACUGCCCGAUGGCGGGGGAUAACUACUGGAAACGGUAGCUAAUACCGCAUACCAUCGGAUGAGCCCAGAUGGGAUUAGCUAGUAGGUGGGGUAACGGCUCACCUAGUCGACGAUCUCUAGCUGGUCUGAGAGGAUGACCAGCCACACGGGAACUGAGACACGGUCCAGACUCCUACGGGAGGCAGCAGUGGGGAAUAUUGCACAAUGGGCGCAAGCCUGAUGCAGCCAUGCCGCGUGUAUGAAGAAGGCCUUCGGGUUGUAAAGUACUUUCGGCGGGGAGGCGUUACUCGCAGAAGAAGCAUCGGCUAACUCCGUGCCAGCAGCCGCGGUAAUAC
rnacentral:rRNA from 1 species